UACGUAGGGGGCGAGCGUUGUCCGGAUUCAUUGGGCGUAAAGAGCUCGUAGGCGGUUUGUCGCGUCUGCCGUGAAAGUCCGGGGCUCAACUCCGGAUCUGCGGUGGGUACGGGCAGACUAGAGUGAUGUAGGGGAGACUGGAAUUCCUGGUGUAGCGGUGAAAUGCGCAGAUAUCAGGAGGAACACCGGUGGCGAAGGCGGGUCUCUGGGCCGAUACUGACGCUGAGGAGCGAAAGCGUGGGGAGCGAACAGG
rnacentral:rRNA from 1 species